AGAGUUUGAUCCUGGCUCAGGACGAACGCUGGCGGCGUGCUUAACACAUGCAAGUCGAGCGAUGAAGUUUCUUCGGAAAUGGAUUAGCGGCGAACGGGUGAGGAACACGUGAAGAAUCUGCCCUCCACUUUGGGAUAACACCGGGAAACCGGUGCUAAUACCGAAUAUUGAAACAUAAGUGGCAUCACUGAGUUUUGAAAGAAUUUCGGUGGAGGAUGACUUCGCGGCCUAUCAGCUAGUUGGUGAGGUAAUGGCUCACCAAGGCAACGACGGGUAGCCGGCCUGAGGGGGCGACCGGCCACACUGGGACUGAGACACGGCCCAGACUCCUACGGGAGGCAGCAGUGGGGAAUAUUGGGCAAUGGAGGAAACUCUGACCCAGCGACGCCGCGUGCGGGAUGAAGGCCUUCGGGUUGUAAACCGCUUUCAGUAGGGAAGAAGCGAAAGUGACGGUACCUACAAAAGAAGCACCGGCUAACUAUGUGCCAGCAGCCGCGGUAAUACAUAGGGUGCAAGCGUUGUCCGGAAUUAUUGGGCGUAAAGAGCUCGUAGGUCGGUUGUUACGUCGGAUGUGAAACCCUGAGGCUCA
rnacentral:rRNA from 1 species